rnacentral:rRNA from 1 species
AUACGGAGGAUCCAAGCGUUAUCCGGAUUUAUUGGGUUUAAAGGGUGCGUAGGCGGCCUAUCAAGUCAGAGGUGAAAGACGGUAGCUCAACUAUCGCAGUGCCUUUGAAACUGGUGGGCUUGAAUGUACUUGAGGUGGGCGGAAUGUGACAAGUAGCGGUGAAAUGCAUAGAUAUGUCACAGAACCCCGAUUGCGAAGGCAGCUCACUAAGGUAUGAUUGACGCUGAUGCACGAAAGCGUGGGGAUCAAACAGGAUUAGAUACCCUGGUAGUCCACGCCCUAAACGAUGAAUACUCGAUGUUGGCGAUACACCGUCAGCGUCCACGCGAAAGCAUUAAGUAUUCCACCUGGGGAGUACGUCCGCAAGGAUGAA